UACGUAGGGUGCGAGCGUUGUCCGGAAUUAUUGGGCGUAAAGAGCUCGUAGGCGGCUUGUCGCGUCGGACGUGAAAGCCCGGGGCUUAACUCCGGGUCUGCAUUCGAUACGGGCAGGCUAGAGUUCGGUAGGGGGGAUCGGAAUUCCUGGUGUAGCGGUGAAAUGCGCAGAUAUCAGGAGGAACACCGGUGGCGAAGGCGGAUCUCUGGGCCGAUACUGACGCUGAGGAGCGAAAGCGUGGGGAGCAAACAGG
rnacentral:rRNA from 1 species